GAUGAACGCUGGCGGCGUGCCUAAUACAUGCAAGUCGAGCGAACAGACGAGGCUCUUGCUGCUUUGUCGUUUGCGGCGGAGGGGUGAGUAACACGUGGAUCACGCCCCUAUCAUACUGGGAAAACCUCGGGAAACCGGCGCUAAUCCCGGAUAAUAUACUGAAGCGCAGGGGUCAAUAGUGAAAUACGGUUUUGGUGUCACUUCUCGCUGCUUCCCGGCUGGUUUAGCUAGUUGGUAAGGAAACGGCUUACCAGGGCGAGGAUGCGUAGCCGACCUGAGAGGGUGAUCGGCCACCUGGGAGCGGAGACGCGGACCAUGCGCCUGCGGGAGGCAGCAGUAGGGAAUCGGCCGCAGUAGGCGGAAACCUUACGGAACGGCGCCACGUGAGUGGUGAAGGUCUUCGGAUCGGGAAACUCUGUUUUUGGGGAAGAACAAAUGUGGAAGGAGCUAUGCACUUAUUGACGGUACCUAAUCAAGAAGCCACGGCUAACUACGUG
rnacentral:rRNA from 1 species